UACCUCCGCGAGCGGGGCUGGGGCGGAAGGAGGCGAUGGAACGGCGCGGCCGACCGGAGUGGCCUCUAGUGGUGGUGGCACUGGUCCAGUGCAGCGGCGUGGACGGAAGAGGAGGAGGGAGAGGAAGUAGGAAGGGAGGGUAGUAAAAGAGAGGGAGAGUAACGUCGCGGCGGUACCGACGGGGUUCCAAGCGGCCGUCGGCGCGGGUGGAGGGAGGCCGGUGUUGAGGUCGCCCUAGGCCGGCGGGGACGGGCCUAGGCGUAGGAGGCGAGGCGGCGCGGGGCCUAGACCGGUGGUGGUUCGGAGGGUGCGGCUAGGCGGGCAGGCGGCCGGAGGGGGACGAACUAGGCCCACCUGCCUAAUCCCUCCUCCCAGCUCCGUCGGUGCUUAAGGUAGGACGUGAUGAAGUUGUGGCCGGAUAAGAACGUACUUAGAAGACGGCACUCUGUGCCAGACGUCUAGCUACAUGAAACAGGCAGAAAGGAAGUGGUUUCGUACGCAACACUCUAGUACUAACGAUGGUCCGUUGGGCCGCGGUAGCGGUUCCUCUCGCUCCUCCCCGACCUGAUGCGGUGGUGUCUCCACUCGACGCUCCCCGAGGCCGCAGAGACGUAUCCUCCCCCUCUCUUCGGCGGUGGCGUGGUGCACUAAGACGAACUUUGAGGAGCCUCGAACGUGGUCCUAGUUUAGAAUUAGCUAAGAUUCGAGUGAUCUUAUGGCCUCCAGUACCUCCUUUUCUCGCACAUACUAGCACUACUCCGGCUCGCAAACCGACGGCGACACGCCCUGGUGUUCUCGUAGUCGCUCUAGACACUGGUAUACGACGAGGAAAGGACGCUCUCCUUAAGAGGCCGUCAAUGCUCCUGCUGGUCUUGUGCAGGCGGACCUUCGUCGCCUCUCGAUAGGUUGCCGGGUGGUGCGAGGCCGGGGCCGCAGGGUUAGGGAUGGAGAGAGAGGAAGAGCAGGGUAAGGUCUCUCGGCGGCGGGGGAGAGAGGGGGUGGGGUCGACGAGACAGGAGUGGCCGCUGGAGGAGGAGGCGGCGGCCGGUGGUUGGGGAGGGGAGUGGUAGAGACGGAAGGGAAACGGGGUCUAGGUGGUUAGGUACCGUGACAGUCGCUUAGGCUCUUGUUCGGGCGGAGGAGGAACACUAACAACGAGCUCGACGAGAAUCUGCCUAGGUGUCGCUGGUGUGCCGUCUAGACGUCGCAGAAGCCGACUAGGUGCCACGGGACUCGGGAUGGGUCCGGGUGAAGCGGUCGAGGACGAGCAGCCGGCCGGCCGCCGAGGCGCACUCCCGCAGAGCGCAGAGCGACCGAGGGGUGCGCCGGAGCGGCGGCGUACAAAGUACCCCACCCACGAUACCUGGGCUCGAAAGGUACGAGACAUCUAGUCACCUCAGAGCUCCUAGACCCCGCGGGUAGUCCCCCGAUCAGACCCGCUUCCGGCCACCAAGCAAGUUCGUUCUAGCGUAACGCAGAACCAGUGGAUACGUGCGUGCGUGGUGGCUCGACGUCUAUUUACUACUCUAUGUUGUUCUUUAGAAUCUUCCAAACCAUCAACUACAGCACCUACUUGUUCUCUGUCUACUUCGAACU
rnacentral:rRNA from 1 species